rnacentral:rRNA from 1 species
GGGGGGGAAUCGCAAGCUAUACUGCAAGUCGAACGGUAAGUCGAGUGCUUGCACUUGACACGAGUGGCGCACGGGUGCCUAUCACGUAUGCAACCCACCCUUUACUGGGGGAUAGCCCGGACAAUUUCGGAUUAAUACCCCAUGGUAUUGUGAACUGGCAUCGGUUUAUAAUUAAAGAUUUAUUGGUAAAGGAUGGGCAUGCGUGACAUUAGCUAGUUGGUACGGUAAUGGCGUACCAAGGCGAUGAUGUCUAGGGGUUCUGAGAGGAUGAUCCCCCACACUGGUACUGAGAUACGGACCAGACUCCUACGGGAGGCAGCAGUAGGGAAUAUUGGUCAAUGGACGGAAGUCUGAACCAGCCAUGCCGCGUGCAGGAAGACGGCCUUCUGGGUUGUAAACUGCUUUUAUCAGGGAACAAAUAGCCCAUGCGUGGGAAGUUGAGUGUACCUGAAGAAUAAGCACCGGCUAACUCCGUGCCAGCAGCCGCGGUAAUACGGAGGGUGCAAGCGUUGUCCGGAUUUAUUGGGUUUAAAGGGUGCGUAGGCGGUCGAUUAAGUCAGUGGUGAAAUCCUCCAGCUCAACUGGAGAACUGCCAUUGAUACUGGUUGACUUGAGUACAGACGAGGUAGGCGGAAUUUAUGGUGUAGCGGUGAAAUGCAUAGAUACCAUAAAGAACACCGAUAGCGAAGGCAGCUUACUAGACUGUAACUGACGCUGAGGCACGAAAGCGUGUGGAGCGAACAGGAUUAGAUACCCUGGUAGUCCACGCUGUAAACGAUGAUUACUCGAUGUGUGCGAUAUACCAGCACGCGUCUUAACGAAAGCGUUAAGUAAUCCACCUGGGGAGUACCCUCGCAAGAAUGAAACUCAAA